ACCUUCCAUCUCUCCACCAGGAACUCCAGAAUAUCAGCGUAGUCCUUGGCAGUGUAAACCCCAAGUCUUUGUGCAACAGCUGAGAAGUGGUCGAAAAGGUUGUCAUCUCGGCCAUCAUACAUCAAGUGGGCAGGCAUCGAGAUUUUCUUUCUCAUCAUGUCAGCAAAGGCCAGGACAGUACCAUCAGGAUCAAUCUCAAAGAGCUUUUCCACGAUUUUAGUAUAAGCUGUCUCAUGGCGCCUUUCAUCCGAGGCAAUCGUCCCACAUAUUUGAGCCAACUUAAAGUCCCCAUGCUCCUUGGCAAGUCUGGCUGUAUUCCCAUGGGAGAUAAAAGUUGCCCUUUCUUGGAAUGAUGUGUAGAUGAAUCCAAGAUAAGGGCUGUUUUCUGUGCGGGGAUCCUAUAAAUACAGAAGAAGAGACUUUAAAAAGAUUGAUCAAUAGGGGGGAAAAGAGCUCACUGGAUGGAUUGUACCACUCUAAAAAUGGCAUCUAGCCUGUAUGUUUAUUUUGAGGUGAAAAGUAGUUAAAUGUCAUAAUAUACACAAUUUAGUGAAAUUCCAGCAUUGAUACAGUGCAAUGUUAAGAUGAAUGCAUUUUCACAAGGUGUAACUCCAAAAUAGAAGAUAAAUAGAAACGAAAAGGAAGCCUAUACUUUGUGUGCAUGGAUUUUCUCAUCCCCUCCGCACUCAAAGAAAACACCACCAAAAGACUAAAGAAAAAAUAACUUAAUAAAUUGUCACCAAGAGACCCCGAUAUGCAGUCCUUCAAAGAAUUGCAAAGGAUUUAAUAAAGUCAUAAAUGUCAAGUGCAUUUAAAGGUUCAAAAUCAAACUAUAAUGAGUGAAUAAAUUGAGUAGCAAGCAUCUUACCAUUCCUGAUCCAAUCAAAUACUGGAUUGUCUUCUCAAUUUGUCUCAUGUCCACUCUUCCAGACAAGUAGAGAUACUUAUUAAGUAGAUCACCAUGCCUAUUUUCUUCAGCUGUCCAUGCCCUCGUCCAAAUUGCCCAAGAGGUGAGGCUAGCACCCGUUUCAUCAAGAACUCCAUCUAAGGUAUUAAGCAUUGUUUGGUAAGUUGGAAGGGCUUCCUCUGUGAUCAUAUCACCAACCAAAACAACAAAGUAAUCAUCUGGAAUCUCCUUAGCCCUUUCCCUUAGUUCUUUUACUUGCUCAUCAAAUCCAUCAGAAGCAGGAUCUGGAAGAAAAUCCUGGGGUUGCCAACAUUUCUCAACUGGUUUGAGGUGAACUAAAAUGUUCUGCUCAGCCCAGUUCUCCAAAGAUUUAAAGAUCUCAAUCUUUUGUGGUGGCAUGGAGUGGGUGACCUGAACAUGCACCUCCCGAGGAGGCAUGAAAGGCUUUUUGACAUUCUCAACCUCUCUGCAUUAAGUAAAUAAAUCCUAUGUAAGCAAGGAUUACAUUCUCACAGUUCAGAUCUGCAAGUAAGGAUUAAAAGGCAACAAUAAAUUGCAUAAGCACAAAUCUUAUCUCUUUACUGCAUGUUCCAGAAUAUCCAGCACAUGAAAACAAUAAAGCAGGGACCAAAAGGAUAUGCAAUAACAAUUUAUGAAACAUCUUUAAAUGUUGGCCCAAAAAUAGCAGCUUUAUAUACUUUGUGUAAGAUACCCCAGGCUGCUGAUUACAAAACCAGACUACGUUUCAACAUAACUAGUAAUACAUUAUCAAAUAGAGUCAUUAAUUACUGGGCCAUAAAUUAGAACUCAAGUUCUAAAAUCCCAGAAGCCACAAUUUAGUGCGAAAAUAUUUAGUGUCCGAAGCAAAGCCCUUUAAGGCUAGAGGUGCACCAAAUAUAAGGAAAGGAACAUGUAGGAGAUCAAAUGAGAGUUCAGGAAAUGGGGUCAAAUCAUUAUUCGCACAAGGUCUGCCACUGUGAAUAUCACCUUAUGAAAUGCGAAAAGGAUUAGUUUGUCAUUUUAACUUGCUCAAACUAGUCCCAGCUGUAACUCAACACAGCCAGUACAUGACAGAUAAAGAUUUAAGAAAUAUUUUGCUUUGAGAUGUUCAAUGAAGUACAAGCAUGUUACUGCAGAAACCUCACUGUUUGCAGUGCACAAACUACUUGUAAGGCCUUGUCCCUCUCUGCAAAGUACAUGUAAUCGGCUCCCAUGUUUCUUUUUACAUUUCUUUUUAAAACAAAGUGCAAAUGCACUUUUAAUAAUUGCAACUAUAUACAUACAUACAUACAUACAUACAUACAUAUAUAUAUAUUCCAAGAUGUUAGAAUAAAGGGCUUUAAAGUGCUAUAAGUAGCAAAAACAUAGAGCAGACCCAGUAGGGGAAUCGGCAUUCUAUAGUAGCAUAAAUAAGUGACAGCAUCCAAGACAUCAAAUGAAAAAAGAAAUGUUAAGUAUCAAACUUAAAAAUUGCCAAUUGUUUAUCUGAUUUUUUAAAAAUUGUAAAUAAUCAUGUUUUUAAGUGCUUUUGUAUAAGUACAAACUUAUUAAAUGCUUCUUCUGUCCUUUCAAAAAGAAAAAAAAUGCUUUAUCUGCACAACCCAUAGCUUAUGACCAUAUGACCACUAAUUAAAUGAUAAGAAUUUACAUUGCAAGAACCAUUUGGAAAGUAAUGUAGGUUGACUACAUUACCAUUUAUCAGAAAGAACACAAAUAGCUAUCAACCUACUCUCAACAACCACAAGAAAAACCAUAUUGCUGAGACCAUAUGAUGGAACCCAAAGAGACACUCAGACCAAACAUGAGGAAAAUCGUAUGCAAAUAAGGGAAAAUGGAUAGAAGUCCAUAAACAUCAGUACCUCACAAACCAUACAAAAACUACGGCAAGAGUAGACUACAAAGAGGCAGUUCAUGGAUAACCCCCCAGAAAUGCACAAAACAAAUACCAGGAAAAAUGCUCAUGGAAAAUUAUUUUAAAUAUUCUUUUUCCAGUACAUGCAUAUAGCCAUGACUUAAAGGUUGCAAGUAAGGUAAUAAUCAAAUAUCCUUCACCUGAUACAGGAAGAAUGUUCAAAGUAUCAAAACUAUGUUAACCAAGUUGAGUAUUUAUACUCUUUGAGAAAGGUAAAAAGAUUAUAAGGAGAUUUAAAGAUCAAAUAUGAAGAAAAAGUACUUCAAAAUCAGUUAAUUAAAAUGUUAACAAACGACAACAUUUAAAAGUAAAAAAGUCCACUCCUAAGAGAAAUCAUGAGGAACAUAUGUAUUCUGUUUAAAAGGACAGAUUUUUUUUUUUAAAAAGGGAACAAGAAUAAUAGAGUACUGAGGAGUAAGGACAACAGAUUCCAAACUACUCUACCAACUUGAAUAUUCUUUCAAGGUAUAGAUUCAACCAUAGUGCAAAAAACAGUAACGUGAAAUUACUUAAAAGAAAGAGGAAAACUACCCAUCAGCCAGUAUGUCUAGAGAACCUGAACUACUUCCACCAACUUGAUUAUUCUUUUCAAGACAUAGAUUCAACCAUGUUGAAACAAAGUACAUUGAAAUAAAUGAAAAGAAAAUAGGGCAAAAUUACAGUAAUACAUCAGCUAAUAAAAUGUUCUUAGAUCAGAAACAUGACCCAAAAACAGUAAGAUCCUUUUGUGUAAAGUAUUCAUAAGAUUGGAAAUUAAAUUAAACAAAAGAGGUAACAUAAAUACAGAAACAAAUGACAUAGUGACAUAUAACGGAAACAUUCUCACAUGGUAUGGGAGCCCCAAAAAUCACCCUGAGUAUCAGCAAGAGCAUAUUACAUCAUGAAUCAGGAACAGGUAUGCAUGACACAAAAACCUUGAACAAUUUGUUUUUUGUAUGAAUGAAAAGGGAUGAGGCCCAGAUACAUAUGCGCAAAUGAGACGCUUCUAACCCAUCAGGAGCAACAUCAAGGAUAAAAACUUUCAACAUAUUGGCUAAACUACUCAAGACUCCAUCAUAUCAACAGGUAAAAAACAUGCAACAGGUGGGAGAAAAUGCUUGAAAGACCAUGAUCCAAAAAAGACAAAUUAGGAAAUCGUAAAUAACAAAUUUACCCCAAAAUUAAUAAAGAAGAUAAGGUUUACCUAGACAAAGCAUAAAAUUGCUUUAAAAAAAGAAACGAAGAAGAAUGUAUUACACAACAGAAAUAGCAUCCAAUUAAUGCAAACCCAAAGAAUAAAUUCCUUUAGACAAAGUUAGUUGAGAAAGAAAUUAAUCUCCUAACAGGCCCCAAUACCACCCAUUGAAAGAGACAAAAAGAAAAACACUGUAAGCCUUAACAUCAUAGAUUGCAUUAAAAACCAGAUAAUCAAUAAAAAGAAGUUGAAUAGAAUAAGAUUAUCAGGAAUUAGAUAUUUUUAGUUUCUUUAAUUCCUCUCAAACAAAAACAAGACAUGAAACUGGAAAACCAAAUAUUUGACUUUUCUUCAAAUCAAACUUCACUUGAAAGAAACUACUAGAAGAAAAAGCUGUCAAAAAUUUAAAAAAAAAGGAAGAAAACGUUUUCCAGGUUGCUUUGAUUGUACGUCUUUCUUUGAAAACCGUCCCAAAUACGCUUUAAACAAAUGGAACCUGUCACUAUCAAACCCCCAUGCUUAUCUUGCAGUCAAACCAAUUGUAAAAAACAAGAAAUUCACAUCACGAUUAAUACACUCAAGAAUAAUAAAAGAAAAGAAAGCAUAAGAAAGUUAAAUACGAUACAUGAACCUUUUUCUCUCUCAAAAUUAAUAGCACUCGUGAAUUUCAAUGAAGCACAUAAGAAAGGCUUAUAUCAAGUUCUCAAUGUCUCAAUUUUAAUAAUGCAAAUACAGACCACCCAGCAACAUGAAAUCAAAUUACAAAAAGAUCAAAAGAAAGAUGGUGAACAUAUUCACUACUAGAAAGGCGACCAAAAUUACUACAAGAAAUGUGCUAUUCCUAUCAUUGCACCUAAUUAAGCACAAUUUGAUAUAGAGAAGCAAUUGAUAAUAAUAACAAUGAGCUUUUUUUUUUUUGAACUGUAAUAAUAAUAAAGAGCUAAAAAGUACUAAAACCUAGAAUACGAAAUGGACCUUAUUUCAAUGAUUUCUAAAUUAAAAUUAACAAACCCAAAUGGAAAGGAACAACAUUAGAGGCCAUUUAACAUUAAGAACAUUUAGAUCAUAAGACAUCACCACAUAAAAGAGAGCUCUUGAAAUCCAUGUUGGCAAAAACAACAAAGACCCAGAUCCAAAAUCAACUAAAACUCAAGGAAAGUAGUCAAGAUCCAUGCUUUAACAAGAAAAUAAUGAUGUUAGACUAAUUAACAAAGACAAAAUUAAAAAAGAAAAGGAAAGAAAGAAAGGCACUAACUUGGAGCCAGAACGAAGAGUGGAGGCCAUGAAAAACUUGGGAGAUCUGAGGCUGGCCAUUGGUGGAAGAGCAAAAUACGGAAGUUUCUGAGAUUGAGAAGUGAUGGGAUUCAAUUUCAGAGCCAUUUGUUCUGCGUUUGCUUGGUUCUGGUUUUUUUCUCUGCUUAUUUGGUGCUUAAGACCCCUCUGGCUAUUCUCUUUGGGCUUCUGCUUCAGCAGCUUCACUUUACUCCACAAAAGAGAAAAAACACACUUUGCGAAAGAAAGGGACAAUAAAUAGAGCGCCCACUCAGUGGAUAUCAAAUGCAUCCACUUUAACACUUUAGCCCUAACUUUCCUUUUAAUUACUGAUUGCCCAUCAUUCCUACCCUCCCUAUUGAAUUUUUAUUUCGUGAAAUUACGACAUAGGAACAACAAAUUCGAUAAAUAUUAUGAAAUAUUUCAUCUAAAUGAAAUUCUAUAACUGUCAAAAUUUGUCUCGAAAAAGCUUUUUAUUUGUGUUUAUUACUUUUUUUUGGCUGAAAGUGAAGUAGAAUGGUACUGAUAUACCAAUUCGAAUCAGGCAAAAUUGGACCACUCUUUCAUUGCAUAGACGUCCCCAUCACUCUACAACGUAUGCUUGCAAUUCCUCCAUGAAAGGAUAAUAAUUUGUUCUUCUAUACAUAAAUAAAUAAUUUUUUUAAAGAAAGUUUAUGAGAUAGCAGGGAAUUUCAGCUUUGAAUCUCUAUUAAGUUGUAUCUUAACGAUUAAGUUUAGGUUAAAUAUUUUGAUAUUUUAAAAUUUUGAUCAAAAUUAUACAAAAAUUUAUUGAUUUGAGAAAUAGAUACUCUGUUUUAAAAACCUUAACCCUGUUAAUAAAAAAACAAAAAAUUAAAAUAUCUUUAAUUUUUAUUUUUAAAAUUUUUUCCUUAAAAAAUUUUUAUUUCCAAAUCAUAUUUGACGCAUCGCCCUCCCUCAAGGGAGUGCAUCAACGACGCUCGCCUAGGGAAUGCAGAUUUGGCCGCGCCCCCUCAGGGGAGUGCAGCAAUAAUGCUGCCUUAGGGAACGCAGAUUUGGCCACGCUCCCUCACGGUAAUGUGACAAUGGCAUUCCCCCAGGAAGUGCAGCUAGAGAGGGAGCGCGAUGUGCCAAACCCGACCGAAUUUGGCUUGGAAGUAAAGUUCUUUUAAGAAAAAAAAUGAAAAAUAAAGGAUAUUUUAGUUUUUUUAUCUUUUCUGUUUAUGGUGUUAAAGCUUUUAAAAUAGCGUGUCUAUUUCUCAAACCAAUAAAUUUUUAUAUAAUUUUGAUUAAAAUUUAAAGGUGUCUAGGCAUUUUACCUUUUAAGUUUUGGAUGUCUUUUGCACCCUAAUAGUAAUUAUUUGUUUUUAUUUUUUUACAUACUUGAGAGCUUGUUAUAAAAUAAAAAUAAAAGGUAAAAAAUUAAAUUAUAAGUACACAAGAAUACAUAAAGUAUACAUAAAAACUUAGUAUCUGUUAUAUAUAAUAAAAUACUUUAAUGCUUAAAAUUACUCUAAAAUAUUUUUAAAAAUUUAAAUAAAAUCAGUAUUCUUUUAUUACGGACUAUCGAAUUCUUACAUUUUAUUUUUUACAAAAUAAAUUCUUAUAACUAACAAUUUAUUAAUUAGCAUUAGUCAAAACAUUACUUGUCAUAUCAUGUCCACAUAAAGCUAACGUGAUAUUGAUGUGAAAAAUUAAAAAUGUGAUGCGAUUAUGUCAACAUGUAACGUGAUCAUUUAUUAUGAUAUGUCAACAUACACAUAAUAUAAAAAUGACAAAAAGUAUUUUGAUUAACAAUAUAUUAAUUAAUUGUUAAUUAUAAAAUAAAAAUACAAUAAUAUGACUUAACGUAAUAAAAGAAUACAAAUUAUUUAAAUUUUUUUAAAUAAUUUAUAAACUUUUUAAAAUAUUAUGUCUCGAAAAUAGAAAUUUGUUUUUCGUCUAAACGAUUUUUUCAUGUUUUCUUUUUUUCUUUCAAAAACAAAUAAGAAAAAUAAGGAGCAAACACAAAUUAAAUAAAACAUUUAAGUAAUUGGUUUAGUAAUUAAUACAUGAAACCUUUGUCAAAAGCCAAUGUCCAUAUAUUAGAAUUGAAUACCCAUUUGGUAUUUUAAGGGCCUGGUCCUGGAGAUCCAAAGCCGUUGAUGUUUAGUAUAAUUAAGCGGUGUCAAGAAUCUAACCAUAGCAAAAAAAUAAGUCAUUAUACUUUUUAUUCUAAUUAAUUGAGUCUUCUAGCACUUAUUUUAAGUCAAUUACUUUUUUUAUUAGAAAAGAUCAUGUAAAUUAAUACGAGUAAUCCUUUUUACUAAUUGAUAUAUAUUAUUAUAUAUAAUAUAUAUAUAUAUAUUUGAGACAUAUAUAUUAAUAACACAUGGCAAAAUUUAAUGAAUUUCAUUGACAAAGAGAGUUAAAUCAUUAACAAUAUAGUCCACUCGUUUUCAUUUUAAAUGAGGGGCAAAUAAAACAUUUAAGUAUUUGGUUAAUAAUUAAUGCAUGAAACCUUUGCCGAAAGCAGGUGUCUAGAUAUUAGAAUUGAAUACCCAUUUGCAUUUUAAGGGCUUGGCCCUGAGAUCCAAAGCCAUUAAUUUUAGUACGUAGGAAGAUAAUUAGGCACUGUAAAUAAGUCAUUAUACUUAAUAAAUUUUCAUUUACGUCCUUAUUUUUUUAUUAUAAUCAAUUGAGUCCUCUAGCACUUAUUUCAAAUCAAUUGUUUUUUUAUUAGAAAAGAUCAUGUAAAUUAACGUCAGAAAUCCUUUUUAUUAAUUGAGUUAAGAUUGUCACAUUUGAAUAUACAAUGUGAAUAUGCAAUGUGAAACCAAUUUUUCCACAUAACGAAGAGGACCCAAAAUAAAUUUGGUCAUACGACAGUAAUGAAAAUGAAAAAAAAUAAAAGUUUUCGUUUUUAUAUAUUUGAGACAUAUAUAUAAAAACACAUAAAUAAUAUAUAAAAACUUAGUAUGUGUUAUAUAUAAUAAAAUACUUUAGUGCUUAAAAUUACACUAAAUUAUUUAUAAAAUUUUAAAUAAAAUUAUUAUUCUUCAAUUACCUACUAUCAAACUCUUACAUUUAUAUUUUGAACUAAAGAAGUUCUUACAACUAACAAUUUAUUAAUUGACGUUAGUCACAACACUAUUUGUCGUUUUAUUCCCAUGUGAUGUUGAUGUAAAAAAUGAAAAAUGUCACAAGAUUAUGUUAAUAUGUCACAUCAUCAUUUAUUAUGAUAUAAUAAUAUAUCACGUUAAUAUUACAUAAUAUAAAAAUGACAAGUGGUGUUGCAACUAACAACAAUUAAUCAAUUAUUAGUUAUAAAAUAAAAAUAUAAGAAUAUGACUUAACGUAACAAAAGAAUAAAAAUUUAUUUAAAUUUUCUUGAGUAAUUCAUGAACUUUUUUAAGUAUCAUGUAUCGAAAAAAUAAGUUUGUUUUUUCAUCUAGAUGAUCUUUUCAUGUUUUCUUUUUUACUUUAAAAAACAAAUAAGAAAAAUAAGUGUUAGCUCUAUAACGUUCAAAUUGAUCUCAGGUUUUGAAUUGACAAAAAAAAUUACCAAAAUUCAUUUAGUCUUGGAAUAUCAAGUCUAAACAUAUCCUAAUACUUUCAAAUAAGUUUGAGAAGAAAACCAAUGAAAAAAGACUUGAAAAAGUAUAUUCUAAUCCAAAUCUAUCGAUAUAUGUUCUUUAUGUAUCGAUACAUCUGAAAAGUAUCAAUAGAUUUUAAAAUCUAUUGAUAUGUGAUCUUCAGAAAAAUUAAAUUUCAAAAAGUCAAACUUAAUCCAUCUAUACAUUUUCUAAUGUAUCGAUAGAAAUAUAAUAGAAUAAUUACUAUCUCAAAAGCAUCGAUAUAUUUAUUAAAUAUAUAGAUAGAUUUUCAACAGAAUGCUUGUUGCUUCAAAAGUAUCAAUACAUUUUCAACGAAAUAACCAAAACCUUACAUGAAAGUUCAAAAGUAUUGAUACAUGACAAAAUGCAUUGAUAUAUCAUAGUGGGAAUUCAAAAAUAAAAGAAGCAAUUAACAUAACCAUCAACAACAUUUAUUAAAAUUAAGGGUGUUACAAUAAAGGUCCAGUUAACAGAUGUUUAUAAUUUAAUAAACACAUAACGUCAAUAAUUAAGUAUGAUUAAGACUUAAAAAGACAUUAGUUAAGAUGAUAGUUAUAUAUACCUAAUAUAAAAGACAAUGUAAUUAUCUGUCAAUAUAGAGCAGAAUGUUAGGUAUAUAAACCACCAAACCGUCAUGUUAGGUACUUUUAAGUACGGAUUCACCUUUAUUGUAUCAUUUAAUAAACUACUUAUUUCGUCAUUAAAGGAUUCAACAUUUUUUAUUUUAAAUUAUUUAAUUUUUAAAGCAUAACAUUUUAGUUACCAACAUAAAUAAUGCAUUCUUGAUCAUCCAACCAUUAAAUAUUAACAGGUCUCCAAAUUUGUAUUCCAUGUUAUUGUUUUGCAUCAGGUGAUCAACUUUGUCAUCAUUCUUGUAGAAGUUAAAUUAACCCUUAAUUAAAUAUUUAUAAAAGUUAAAUUAUUUAAAAAAAUUCAAAUAAAUAUUUAUUUUUUAUUACGUUCAUAUCAAAUAAGCUCUUAUGAUUAAUAAUUGAUUAAUUAUCAUUAAUUAAAAUGUCACUUAUCAUUUUCUCUCCACAUAGCAUUGAUGUAAAUGAUGAAAGAUGUGACAUGAUCAUAUUAUCAUGCCAAAUUAGCAUGUCACGUCAUCAUUAAUUAUGAUAUAUUAAUAUACACGUUAAUAGUAUACAACAUACAAUGACAACUGAUAUUUUAAUUAAGUCAAUUAUUAAUUAUAAAAACUUAUUUGACGAAAAAAUAAAAAUAUAAGAACGUAUUUAACUCAAAAUAAAAAUACAAGACUUGAUUAAAUAUAAUAAAAAUAUAUAACUUAUUUAAAUUAUCUUAAAGUAGUUUAGAGUUUUUUUAAAUAUUAUGUCAUCCACUACAAAAAAAAACAGGUUUUUUCUGAUGGAAAAAAUUUUGUUAAAAUUUUUCGACGGAUUUCCGACGAAAAUUUUUCAACGGAAUUUUUUCGUUGGAAAUCUAUAGGUAAAUUUUUUUUUGGGGGGAAAAAAUUUCAACCACCAUUUUUUUCAACGAAAUUUCCAACGGAUUUUUCGUUGGAAUUUUCCAACGAAAAAUUUUCCGUUGGAAAUCCAUUAGAAAGUUAAAUGAUUCAAAAAAUUUAAAGACCGGUAAAGUUUUCAACAAAAAUUUUCAUUGGAAAAGGUUAUUACCAACGAAAAUUUUCUAAUGAAAUAUUCCGUUGAAAAAUUCUAUUGGUAAUAGUAUUAUUUUAUUUAAUUUUUUAAAAAUAUUUUAUACUUUUUAUAAAUUUUAUUAAUCUUUUAUAAAAAAAUAGAUAUUAGUAAAAGCAAAUACAUACAUAUUGAAGUUUAUAAUAUUUAAAAGUUUAAGUAUGUUUUCUUUUGAUUAAUUUUGUACAUUUUUUUAAAACUUUAUUGAAUCAUACAUUAAAAUUUAAUUUUGUAACAUUAAAAAAAUUAUAAAAAAAAUAAAUUUGUUAAUUUUAUGAAACUACAUGAUAAGAUAUNNNNNNNNNNNNNNNNNNNNNNNNNNNNNNNNNNNNNNNNNNNNNNNNNNNNNNNNNNNNNNNNNNNNNNNNNNNNNNNNNNNNNNNNNNNNNNNNNNNNNNNNNNNNNNNNNNNNNNNNNNNNNNNNNNNNNNNNNNNNNNNNNNNNNNNNNNNNNNNNNNNNNNNNNNNNNNNNNNNNNNNNNNNNNNNNNNNNNNNNNNNNNNNNNNNNNNNNNNNNNNNNNNNNNNNNNNNNNNNNNNNNNNNNNNNNNNNNNNNNNNNNNNNNNNNNNNNNNNNNNNNNNNNNNNNNNNNNNNNNNNNNNNNNNNNNNNNNNNNNNNNNNNNNNNNNNNNNNNNNNNNNNNNNNNNNNNNNNNNNNNNNNNNNNNNNNNNUAUAUAUAUUAAUAUGUUUUAUAUGUAAGCUUAUGGUAAAUUUUAUUUAUAUGAUUACAGUUAUUAAUUUUAUUAGUUAUUAUCAUACUUUUUAUAAAAUCAUAUUGAUAAUUAAUUAUACAAAUUUUGUAAUAUAUAUCAAAGUAUUACAUAUAAUUUGUGUCAUUAAUAUAUAUAUAUAUAUAUAAUAAAUUUAAUAAUAUAACAUUAUGUUUUAUAUUGAGUAAUAUAAAAAAAUUAUUUAUUAAUAAAAUUUAAAAUAUUUAAAUUUGUGUUAGUAUAAAGACUUGAACUUGUGUUCAAAUGAAAAAUGAAUUAGACUUUAACUAAGUCUACCACCCACCCAAACUAAUUUAAAAACUCCUCAACUUAACAUUAUUAAAAAUGACUCGCAAAUUACAAGUGACAUAAACAGCAUGUUUGUUAAUUUUGCGAGCCUAUAUAAGCUCUUCUUUGGUGCAUAAGAUUAUUUAUUAUAUUUACGAGUAUCUAAAUAUAUUUACAAUAUAAAUAUUUCUUUUUUUUUCUUUUUUUUUUGUUUAUUUUGAUUUUCUAAUACUAAAAUGAACUUAUAUAUUUAAAUAUAUAACCUUUCCCUGGAUUAAAAUGAGACUAAAAAUAUAUAUUUUAUUUAAGUGAAAUGGUUAAGACCCAAAACUAAUUAAAAUGAGCUCAAAUUAAGGAGAAAGGUUAUGCCUUUUUUAGCUAGACCCAAAAAAAAAAAAAAAGAAGAUAUCUUUUUUGUCUAUUUUGUCAAAACUAAUACAUCAUGAAUAUGAUUGCAAGUUGACGACAGAACAAGUAACUCUCAUAAUAUAUAUGUCUCGUUUCAUAAGAUGAAAGGCAUCAUGCUAUUUAUCAGGAUUUGGAAAUUUUAAUUAAAGUGCAGGCGAACAGUAUUUAUUUUUGUUAUAAAUACAUGGCUGUUAUACAAGGCGGUAAAAAAUAGAAAAAAAAAAUCAAGCUCACGCAACAAUAUACAUUAGAAUCAAUAAUGGGUGGUUUACUAUGGCAACAACAUUUGUUUUCCCCUGAUGAUAAUAUAGAAAAAGUAAUUGAGGUUGUUUGCAUCAAAGUAGAUAUUUGUUAGAAAGGGCAUUGGUUACUACCACUAGAAUCAAAUUCUUUAACUUUGAUGACAAUUACAAAGUUAGGAGAAGAAAACUCCAGAGUUAUACGCUGGCAUUGAUAUUUGAAGGUGCCAUUAGACCCAACACCAGAGCUAGGUACCAACUACAAUGCUGAUUUGCUUGGAAGAUAAUAGCUUACCACGUAAGGGUCAUGGAAUCCUUUCCAUAUCUUCACAUUUUGUGCCAUUAUUUUUACAAGUAUAAGAUCAGAUGGGAUAGAAUAUAUUGGGGUAUGUACGAUGCAUGCAUGAAUUCCUUUAGAUAUCUAGGUAUGGGGCCGAGAUACUGUUACUGAGGAGAAGCAAUGGUCAAUUUUCUUCGAACUCUUGCCUCGCCAUUUUCAGACUUGAGAUUUGCAUUUUGCUCCCCUCGAGUCUGCUUAUAUAUCUACACUUGAUAAUUUUGGAUAAAACAUGAUGACACGACACAAAAAGAAAUAAAAUUAAAUAGAUUUGAGUUUAAUUUUAUCGUGUUUUGUGUUUUAAUCGUGUCAAAUAAAAUUAACACGUUUAAUAUAUUUAAUUAAUCAUGUUAAUUGUAUUUAAAAGUAUAUAAGUGGCAUGUUUAAUUUUAAUGAUGGAUUUUUAUUAAUAUGAUGAUUAAUUUUAUGCAUGUUAUUUAUGUUAAAUUUUUUUAUAUUUGAUAUUGUUAUUAUUUUGCUAUAAUUAUUUUUAUAAUUAUUAAUUUUAAAUUUGAAUAAUAAAAUUAUAUUUAAUUGUAAAUAUUUUAAGUUAAUCUUGUUAAAUGUGUUGGAAAAGAAUUAUGUUAAUCAUUUAAUUUUGUUGUGCUGUAUAAAAAUUCUUAAUAUGUUUAAUAAAUGUUCUGAUUGUGCCGUAUUUUGUUACACGAUUAUUAAAUAUAUUCAUAUACGUGUUUUAGAUACUGAUAUAAAUAAUUAUUCGUAUCGUGUUCAUAUUUAACUUUAUUAUAUUUCGUACCAACACAAUUAAGACAAAAAAAAAUAAUUGCCAUGUCUCUCUCUCUCUCUCUAUAUAUAUAUAUAUAUAUAUGUUUCCAAAACGUUUAAUUCUACUAAUCCAUCUUUUGGUUGGGUAACCUGGGCUUUCACAAACAAGUAUAUCUAUAAAAUUAGGGUUGACUGUUUCUACAAAUUACCUACCAUGUUAGUUAUUGUGCAAUAUAAUAAUGUCUCAUAUAUUUAGUAUGCAACCUUAGCUUCACCUUUUCUAAGCACCUGAUGCAAUUCUUCCUCUUUUAGGUUUGUAUGAAGAUUCUAAAGGCGGGCAAAACUUAGAUGCAAUAUUUUGUAUGUGAAGUUUAUCAUAAUCUCGAUCGAAAAUAAAACUAAAACCCGAAAAAUAUUUGGAAUUUUAAUAGAUUUAUUUCUUGUACGCAUCAUGAGCUAGAAAUAGUAUGCAUAUAUAAUUUAUUGUAUUGUAUUUAUUAUAAAUCCAAUUCGAGUAAUGUUAAGACAUACAAAUGGAUCUAUUCUUUGUGGGGUGACCAGCUUAUUCUGUAGCUCUGUUUUUCAUUGAAUGAGAAGACACUUGCAGGGAGAAGAAAAUUCAUAGUAGUUCCUUUAUAACAUCUUAAAGCUGCACUUCUCUGUCAAAAAUCCAACUGAAUGGAAUACUUGGUGCUUGCCUGGCCCUUCCUUGAGCUCUCUCCUCCAGCCUUCUAAUUCUUGGAGGAAGUCCACACACAUAGUCUUGAGCUUGACGCCCAUCCGCUGAAAGUCCAGUUAGUUCCUUCACCUUCCAUCUCUCCACUAGGAACUCCAGAAUAUCAGCAUAGUCCUUGGCAGUGUAAACCCCAAUUCUUUGUGCAACAGCUGAGAAGUGGUCGAAAAGGUUGUCAUCUCGGCCAUCAUACAUCAAGUGGCCUGGCAUGGAGAUUUUCUUCCUCAUCAUGUCAGCGAAGGCCAGCAAAGUACCGUCAGGAUCAAUCUCAAAGAGCUUUUCGACAACUUUAGUAUAGGCUGUCCCGUGGCGCUUUUCAUCUGAGGCAAUGCUACCACAUAUUUGAGCCAAGUUAAUGUCCCCGUGUUUCUUAGCAAGCCUGGCUGAAUUCCCAUGGGAAAUAAAGGUUGCCCUUUCUUGGAAUGAUGUGUAGAUGAGUCCCAGAUAUGGGUUUUUCUCUGUGCCGGGAUCCUGUAAAUGGACAGAAGAAGAGAAUUUAAAAAGAUUGAUCAAGAAGGGAAAGAAAGCUCUGUUUCAACACUGGACCGACUGUAACACACGAGGAAUAACCUAAUUAGGGGCACUUUCUACACAAAUUAAUUAGUGAGAUUUAACAAGUGAUGUGGAGCAAUGCUAAUAUCCAUGCACUUUCACAAGGUGAAACUGCAGAUUAGAAAAUUAAAAGAAAUAUAAAGGCAUGUGUAGUGUGCAUGGGUUUUCUCAGCCCCUUCACACUCAAAAGAAAACACCACCAAAAGACUAAAGAAAAAAAUAACUUUAUACAUUGUGUCCUGCGGACCCCAAUAUGCAGUCCUUCAAAGAACUGCAAAGGAUUCAAAAAACUUGUGCAUGUCAAGUGCAUCUGAGUAAAGCAUCUUACCAUUCCUGAUCCAAUCAAAUACUGGAUUGUCUUCUCAAUUUGCCUCAUGUCUACUCUUCCAGACAAGUGGAGAUACUUAUUAAGUAGAUCACCAUGCCUGUUUUCUUCAGCUGUCCAUGCCCUCGUCCAAAUUGCCCAAGGGGUAAGGCUACCACCUGUUUCAUCACGAAUUUCCUCUGCGCUAUUAAGCAUUUGUUGGUAAGUUGGAAGGGCUUCCUCUGUGAUCAUAUCACCAAUCAAAACAACGAAGUAAUCGUCUGGAAUCUCCUUUGCCCUUUCCCUUAGUUCUUUGACUUGCUCACCAAAUCCAUCAGAGGUAGGAUCUGGAAGAAAAUCCUGUGGUUGCCAACAUUUCUCAACUGGUUUGAGGUAAAUUAGAAAGUUCUUCUCAGCCCAGUCCUCCAAAGAUUUAAAGAUCUCAAUCUUUUGCUGUGGCAUGGAGUGGGUGACUUGAGCGUGCACCUCCCGAGGAGGCACGAAAUGCCUUUUGAGAGUCUCGUCCUCCCUGCAUUAAGUAAACGAAUAUGGGAUUACAUUCUCACGGUUCAGAUCUGUCCGUAAGGACUAAAAGGCAACAAUAAAUACCAUAAGCACAAAUCCUAUCUAACAAAUUUGUGUUACUUAAUUCAUGUUCCAGAAUAUCCAGUACAUGGGAUAUGCAAUAACAGUGUAAUGAAACAGCUUCCUAUAUAUGUUGGCCCAAAAAAUAAAAAAUAGCUUUAUACAGUUUAAAUUCUGAAGUUUAGUUUAAAUCCAGUAGAUGGGAAAAGGCUUAGCUUGUCGUUGUGGUUGUCUGCAUCUCUGAACAUUACAUCUGUAGCUACCAACUAUUAAAAAUUCCUUCAACUAUAUUGCAAAACUAGUUGCAUGAAAUUACUUAAAAGAUGAAGGGGGAGAACUACGUUAACCAUCAGGCAGUAUGUCUAGAGAAUCUGCUCUACGUCCAUCAACUUGAAUAUUCUUUUCAAGACAUAGAUUCUAUUCAACCAUAUUGAAACAGAGUAGCAUGUAACAAAUGGGAAGACAAUAGGGCAAAGUUACAGUAAAGCGUCAGCUACCUUUAUGUACUUUGAUCAGAAAGCUGACCCGACAACAGAAAUAUCCUUUUGUGUACAGCAUUCACAGGAUUUGGAAUUAAAUUAAACAAAGUAAUAAAAACAUCACAACAUAUAUAUAGCAGCACAAUGACAGAGCUACUAGACAACGCAGCAUACCAAAAAUACAACAGAACACUAAACUGAAACAGAAUGUUGCAAACCAUGCUGACCCAGAAUUUGAUUCUGCAAAGUUGCCUUAAGCUGAGCAUUGCAAAGUCUAAGAUGACUAAUAGUUUUAUUCCCCUUUGAUUAAAUGGUUAGGUCUAGUUUCAUAUACAGGUUAGAGAUUUGAUCCAAUGUAUCAAUCAAUCUCAACCCUCCUCAGUCUGUUGAAAACACUAGCCCCUUAUGCUAGUCUACUCUGCUUGCCGUCCUGAAUACUAACUUAGUAACUCUACUUUCUGCAUUUGCUCGGUUUCUGUAAAGAGUCCACCUGGUUUGAUUAAAAAUUACUUGAACAGUGUUGUUUAGGUCUAAACAAUCUUGGUCUCAAAGGUUUUCACAAAAUGCAUAACUUCAACAUUUCAAAGAUUAUUCAAAAACUCUGCAUAACAAACCAAAUUAAUGUACAAUAAUUUAUAACAAUAGUAGAGAGCAUAAUGUAUAACUAAGUCAUUCCCCUUAUUCUUAGGUCUCCCUUUUUACCUAUUUUGGUUUAUUUUUUAAUUAAGGAAUAGCCAUGGAAUAACUAACCCCAACCCCUUUGGUAUUUUAACUAUUCCAAGCUUCAUGAAAUAAAACUCAAAUAGACAUAGUUAUGAACAAAAGAAAAAAACCAUGCUUACUAUGUGAAAUUACUAACCCUAUCGUAUAAAAUAUUAUAUUAAUAUUUUAAUAAUAAAUUAUUAAAUUAAUAUUAUUUUUAAUGAAAUUUUAAUAAAAAGGAAUUAAAAGAGAAAAAAAGAUAAAAAAUGAAAUAAGAGGAAAAUAAAAAGAAAUUAAAUAAAAAUCAUAUCAAUAUUUUAUUAAUAAAAUAUUAACAUUUUAAUAAUAAAUUACUAAAUCAAAUAUAUUUUUAACAUUGUUCUAAAAAAUUGAAAGAGAAAAAAGGAAAAUGAUAGAUAGAAAAGAAAAAGAAAUUAACAUAAAAUAUCAUAUUGAUAUUUUAACAAUAAAUUAUUAAAAAUAAAUUAAAAGAGAAAAAAAUGAAAAAUGAAAAUAGAGAAAAAUAAAAAAUUAUUAAUAUUUUAAUAAAUAAGAAAUUAAAAGUGAAAAACUGAAAAAAUCAAAAUAGAGAAAAAAUAAAUAUUAAUAUUUAAAAAGUCAAUUAUUAAUAUUUUAACAAUAACAUAUUAAAUUAUUAUUUAACAAUUACAUUGCCAAAAAUUAAUAAGUUUUAAAUAUCUUAAUAUUUUUAUUAAAUUAUAAUAAAAAAUAUUUUUAUCAUUUUAUUACUUAUUCCUUUAUUAUUUCAAAACUAUUUUUACCAUGAUUUAACAUGAAAAUAAUGAAUUUAAAAAAAGAAAAGAAAAGAAGAAGCACUUACUUGGAGGUGGAAGGAAGUCAAGUUCUCUUUGUGAAGUUGCUUUGGGUUUAGGCACCUUCACUUUUACAUGCAGAAAUCUUAUACUUAAUGUAAUACCUUUUUUGAACAAAUUUGAUGAGUAGUGUCUUCAAUGAAAAAUAAAAACAAUUUUUAAAAGAAUGUUUAGAUUAAUCAUAACUAAUGCAUAUAAUUAAAUACUAACUGUUAACUGAAUUAUUCUUUUAAAUAUAGUCAGUUUCUAGAACUUGAGAUUUCACUAUUUUUUUGUUUUACAUUUAAAAUUUAUUAAGAAUUUGUAUACACACACAAAAAAAUAGUCAUGUAUCGUACCAUAAAUUUCAUUUAUUUUUUUCUUUCAAAAUGCAAAAAUAGAAAGUUGGCUCACCUAUUUAAAACAACUUAUCAAAUUAAUAGUUCUAGUUUUGUUAGUGGUGACACAUCAAAUCCUAAGCUGUCAACUUUUAUGAAAUCAAUUUAAACACAUGCACAUGUCGUCAAGGAUUCGAGAUUUUGUAAUUAUAACAUGUGAGCAUUUAAGUUUAAAGCUAAGUAUAGGUACUUAAUCUUUUAUUCAAAAAUCAAAAAAGCUUUUAUAAUUAUAUGCUAAAAAAAUAAUUUGUUAAGUAUAAUAUUACUUCAAGAAAAAUAUUGUGAUACCUUGAGGCCCUUUUAUCAUUUGAAAAAGAUAACAGUGUUAAUUCAAUUAGAAAAAAAAAAUUAUCAUCCAUGACGUUUUAUUAAAAAUAAAAUUACUUUAAUUAGGAUGAAAAACAAUCUUUAUCUCCCUUAUUUAUAAAUCCCCUAAUUAUUUCUUUUUUUGGUGCAUUGAAUGACAUAUUGAUUUGUUUGAGUGUUGGUACAUGGCCUUGCCUAUGAGAGGCUGAGAGAGGAAGGGGGAGGGCGGACAGAGAAGAAGGGAGCAGUGGAGCACAACUGAAAUAUUCACUUGCUGCAGGGCCGUUGUUUAUAUGUAAUUCGAGGAACAAAAUUUGAAGAAUUUUUCCUGUCUGAUGCGAAUUAAAAACAAAAACUAGAGGAAAGAAUCUACCAAGAAGGGAGAAAAACUCAAGAAAAGAAAUCAAGAUCUAUGAUUUAACAAGAAAAUAACGAAUUAAAAGAAGAAGAAGAAGCACUUACUUGGAGGUGGAAGGAAGAGCAGAGGCCAUGAAAAACUUGGGAGUUGUGAAGGUGGUCAUUGCUGGAAGACCAAAACAAGGGAGGUUCUUAUACAGACAAGUCAUGGGAUUACAUCUCAGACCCAUUGUUUGUAUCUUUUGCUUAUUUUGGGGUUCAAGACUUCCUUUGCUCUUUCUCUUUGUCAAGUUGUUUUUGAGCUUCGGCACCUUCACCUUUAUAGGCAGAGAUCUAUUUCGGGGGAAUUACAAAAUGGGCAAUGAAUUGAGAAUAUUUUGAGUUUGCUCCCAUACCCCCAAAAAUAUUUAGGGAUGAGGAAUUGAAAACACACAAUCAGUGUCGAUUCACUCUACCUUCAAUUCAUCUUUUCUAUUUUUCUUUCUCUAGAUUUACGAUUUGCUGGCAUAACGUACAAUCAAAAUUAUAAUUAAUUAAACUGUAACAUAAAAUAUAAUAUAAAUAGCUUAUAUAAGAGUAAAAUUAAAGCAUGCGUUUUGUUAUAUAUAAAAAUUACAUUUUUAUAUAUAUUUGUUUUCAAAAAUAUUAUUUCUUUGUUGAAGUAAUGAUUACUCGGUGAUUAGGAUCAUAGUUAUUGAAAAGCUUUUUUGAGACUCAGAAUUUUCAUGCACAUAAAUCUUGUACAAGUCAAUGAGCAAUAUUAUUAACCUUCUCUUAUUGUAACUUGUACGGCAUACAGCCUCUUUAAUUUUCUUUCCCACAUGUAAAAUAUAUUAGGAAUUUGUAUACAUAAUGAAAUAAUCCACAAUGCAAGCUAGAAGAUGAAACCGUGACACAUGUACUACGGGAUUGCAUGGUGGCGACAUCUUCACCGGUAAGAAUUAUUCCCCAACAAGAACACAACGUGUUCUUUUCACUACCAUUAUGAGAAUGGCUGCUAUGGAAUCUCCAAAACCAUCAGCUGCUACUCUUUGAGACUCCAUGGUCGGUUGUAUUCGGCUUGAUUUGUUGGUAUUUGUGGAAGUGGCGCAACAGCGCGGUGUUUGAUGCUACCUCUAUUCCAACUGCGAAUCGCCUAAGUUUGGUUAGAAGCUUGUCAACUGCUACAAAAACAGCCCUUGUAGAAUUUGAUGGGAUUUAGGUUAAUAAAGGAAGGAAAGAAGAAGUUUUGAUUGGAUGAAGGGCUCCACAGGUUGGCUGGGUAAGUUUAAAUACUGAUGGAGAGUACAAGAAAUCAAUAGAUGAAGCUUCUACAGGGGGUAUCUCGCAACUCUGAAGGAUCUUGGCAAGCUGGCUAUGUGGCAAAGCUAGGCAAAUGUUCAGCGUAUAGAGCUGAAUUGCGGGGAGUGCUUUAUGGACUUAGACUGGCUUGGGAUUCAGGGUUCAAGAAAGUGAUGGUUCAAGUUGACAACAAGAUGGUAGUUUAGGCGAUUUCGAUGGACAAGUUACUAUCAUGUUCGAAUACGGAUUUAAUACAUGCAAUUAAAGAUAUCUUGCAAAAGGAGUGGGAGGUCCAUCUUUUAUAUAUUUACUGUAAAGGUAAUCAGGGCCGGCCCUUGGGUGAAGCCACCCAAACAAGGACUUUAGGCUCUCAAUUUGGAAAGAUCUCAAUUUUAAAGAAGAUUUAUAAUUUUAUAAUAAUUAUAAUAUAAUUAAUUAUAUUAAAAAAAUAAAAAUAAAAAAUAUUCAUCAAAUUAUUUGUUUUUUUACUUUUUUAAUUAUGUGUCUAAUAAAUCUCAAUUUUUUAUUACUUCUUUAUUUCUAAAAUACUAUUAAUUCUCAACUAUAUUCUCUUAUUUUUAACAAACUAACAGUUACAUGUAUUUAAUCAUUUCCAACAGCUAUUUUUUUCUCACUUAUUUUUCUUAUUUCCAAUCAAUAAUAUCUACUUUUAAAAUUUUCCUUUCUUAUUUGCUCUUUCUUCCUUUAACUUCAAUUUUUUUCUAAAAAAUACACAAAAAGUCUGUUCUUUUAUUCUCUUCAUAAAGUUGUGAGCUUCAUUUGUGAUUUGCAAUAAGCAUUCAACAAUUAGGUACUAUUGUUCUAAUAUUUACAGAUUUUUUUACUUUAAUUUAGAUUUAUAUUAUAUUGUUAUAUUAUUUUUAUUUUAUGUGAUAGUUGAUUUAUUUGAAUUAAAAAUUUUGAUUGUUGAUUUUAUAUUAGCCAUUUAAAAAAUAUAAGAUAAUUAUAAUAGUUAAAUAUUUUUAAAAUAAUGUUAACAAUUUCAGUAAGUGUUGUUUCAGAAGAAAGAAGUUUUUCAAAACUAAAAUUAAUGAAAUCUUAUUUAAGAUCAACAGUGUCUCAAGAAAGAUUAAAUGGAUUGACUAUAUUAUCAAUUGAAAAAGAAAUAUUAGAAGAACUUGAUUAUAAAAGUUUAAUUAAAAAUUUUACAUCUCAAAAAGCUAGAAGAAUAAAAUUUUAAUAAUUUUUUUAAUUUUAAUAAAAAAAGCCUCAUUUGAAUAUUUCGCUUUAGGCUUUUGGACUUAUUGGGCAUCCCCUGAAGGUAAUAUGAUAGCCGAUUAUAUGGCUAACUAUGGUUUUGAUUUAAUCAAGACUUAUGGCUUUUUUGAACAUCCUCCAAUUGGAGCUAAAAAAUUGUUAAUGAAUGACAUGUUGGUAGUCUAUUUUCCAAGAAUGAUUCAAGUAUAAUAAAAUGAGUUUUUUGUUUAAAAAAAAUUAUCAUCUAUCAUAUCAUAAAUUUCGUUUUAUUAUUUGUUUAAAAAAUUUAAAUUUAUAGUUAUAGUAUUGGUUCGUGGUUACACAUCAAUUCGUAAGUUUCAAAACCUCUUUAUGAAAUCAAUCUAAACAUAUACACAUGUUGUGUAGAAUUUGAGAUUUUAUAAUUAUGAUGUUUUCGAGCAUUUAAGUUUAAUGAUAAGUAUAUGUACUUAAUUUUUUGUUUAAAAAGCUAAUAUUAGAUCUCUACUUUUUUUAACAAAAAAAAUUAUAAUUAUAUGUUAAAAAUAAUUUAUUGAUUUACUUUAACUACUAAAAUAUCCUCAUUUUGUUUUUUUUUUCUUAUUUUUUCAUUUCUUUUUCUUAAUGUAAACAUCCAUGAUUAAAUUCCUUGAGGUAAAAAUAGUUGAGAAAUUUAUAUAUAUAUAUAUAUAGUUGAGUAAUUAAUAUAUAUAUACACUAACCAUCCUCAACACCACCAAAUUGAAAGAGACAAACACAAGAACACUCUAAACCUUAAUUAACAUAUGAUAUAUUCCAAUAAGUAUAAGAUUAUAAAUAGUUAAGGAAAUUUAAUAAGGGAUCCGAUUAACGGAUGCUUCUAAGUAGCUUUUAAAGUUAGUUAAAUUCUAGGAGCAUUUUAAAAAAUAACCCUUAAAGAUAAAAUGUUUUUAAAAAUAACUUUUUUAUAAUUUUAACUAUAUUUAGCCAAGUUGGACAAAAUUACCCUUAAUGAAAUUACACGUUAUGUACAAAAAUAUGUGACAAGCGAUGGUUAGGUUGUUACACGCCAUGUACAAAAACAUGUGACAAGCCAUGGUUAGGUUGUUACACGUCAUGUACAUUAACAUGUGACAAGCCAUGAUUAAGUUGUUAUACGCAAUGUACAAAAACAUGUGAUAAGCUAUGGUUAGGUUAUUAUACCCCAUGUGCAAAAACAUAUGACAAGUCAUGGUUAGGUUAUUACACGCAAUGUUGAAAAAAAAUAUUAUUGUUACACGAUAUGGUUAGGUUGUUACACGCCAUGUUGAAAAAAAAUACUAUUGUUACACGUCAUGUAUAAAAACAUGUUAUACACCAUGGUUAAAAAAGGUUAUUACACGUCAUAUUGAAAAAAUAUUGUUGUUACACGGCAUAUUCAAAAACAUUUUGUUACACUUUAAUACCUAAAAUGUUAUUGUUACUUACGAACCAAAAUUUCAAAUCCUCUCAACUCUUUUCAUUUUUUUUAUUUUUUUGACGAUUUGGAAUCGAUUAAAGUGUUUCUAACAUGUUUUCAUAAAUAAAAAUAUAAAUUUUUUAAUCUAAAAUACCUACUUUGACUAAAAAUAAAAAAAAAUUCCUUUGAAAACCUAAGUUUAUAAAUUUCAAAUUUUUGAGUUUAUUGGUAUGUUUAGGUCCUGAAUUGAUUCAAUUAAAAGAUAUUUUAUAUAUCUGUGAUUAUUUCUAUUGUUUUAGUUUUAUUCAAAAUACCUAAAAAUCAAAUUUUCCAAAUAGCCAUCCAUCCAAGCACGUUAAAACCAUUGCUUGGUGUCUUGAAAGCGUAAGAAAAAGAAAUCUGAAAACGUAAGAGAGAGAAAUCAGAAGCAUAGCAAACGAAUGCCGAAGAGAGAAAUUGAUAAAAUUCGAAAGAGUGAGAUGGUGGGAGAGAGAAAUCUGAAGUACAAAUUGAGAGAAAUUGUGAUGAAUGAUUUAAUUUAUUUGAAAAAGUUUAAAAGGUAUUUUUGUCAAGUCAUGGUUGAAUAUGGCUAAAAACAGUUAAAUUUAUUUUGAUAGUUAUUUUUAAAAUGUCUUUAUAAAAAAAGGUUAUUCCUCACAAUUUCCUCUAAAUUCAUAUUAAAAAAAAUUUUCAUUUAUUACAUUGUUCUCAUCAAAUUUAAAAACAAAUAAUACGUUAAUUACAAAAUUUUUUUAUACAUUAUUAUUUUAACAAAAAAAAAGAAACAACAUGGAAUCUCCACAUGACAGUUACAUAAAUUAGACACUUAAAUAGGGUACAUGAACCUUUUCUCUAAAAAACAAUUAAUAGCACUCGUGAAUUUCAAUGAACCAUGUACUUAAAACUCCGUCUAAUGAUAAAUUUUUUUGUUAUUUAUUUUUUUACUAUUUUCCUUGUAUUUUUUUUAUAAUAAAGAAAUAUAAAAUACUACUCUCUUUGUUUCAUUUUGUUUAUUUUUUAUUGACUUUUUUUAUUAAAUGAAUUCAAUUUUGAUUUUUUAAAACAUUAUACAAAAUUAAAAUCUCAAAAAAUAUGUUUUGAAAAGUUUGGAAUUCAAGAUUUACAAACUUUAUUUUUAAAAAUCUUAUAAUUUUAUAAAAAAUAAUUAUCAAAAUUAAAUUUAUUUAAUAAAAAUAAAUAAAUAAACAAAAUGAGACAAAAAGAGUAAUAUCUACAGGAGAAAUUAACCUUAUCUCAAUAACUUUUAAAUUAAUAUUAUUACACUUAAAUGGAAAAUAACUUUAUAAAAGACCUUUAGACGACGUGACCAUUUAAAAGAGAGAGCUCUUGAAAUAAGCCAAGUUAGUUGCGCAAAAACAAAUAAUUACACAUUGGCCCUUUAGUAUUAAGAAAAUAUGUAAUAUGCUACCUGAAUUUUAAUUUCCUCAAUUGGGUUAGUCUAAUUAAUAAUAUCGUUAACACAAUCCACCUAUAUGGCAUUGAGCCAAUAGGAUCGCACCAUGUGUAUGCCAUGCGUGAAAUAUAAAUUAUUCAUUAUAUGUUUGAAUUUCUACUGCGGAGGAUCAUAAAAUUUGAGUUUUUUUCUUUUAAAAAAAUUAUGACAUGCUUGAAGUCUUGGUUUGACCCACUUUCAUUAACUUUAGAAUAAAUUAAUUAUUUAGUCAUUUAAAUUUUUAAAUUUUUUAUUUUUCGUUAUUUAGUUUUGGAAAUAAUNUUCUUUUAAAAAAUUAUGACAUGCUUGAAGUCUUGGUUUGACCCACUUUCAUUAACUUUAGAAUAAAUUAAUUAUUUAGUCAUUUAAAUUUUUAAAUUUUUUAUUUUUCGUUAUUUAGUUUUGGAAAUAAUGUAUUGUUCAUUGAUGUUAUAUAAAAUGGUGCAUUCUUAAUCAUCCAACUUUGAAACAAGAUUGACGAAUCUCAAUUUUGUAUUCACGUCAUAAUUUUUAUGUUACAAAAUGAUAAUUUAAAGUAAUGACAUGAACUUGACCACUUCACAUAAAUAUGAUGAAAUGAAAUGUCGAACAAAAACAAAAACACGUUAAUAGUGUGUAAGAGUUUGAGGACAAAAGAUGUAGUGUUUAUAUAACAUUAAUGAUUAAAAUAAAAAUAUUUUAAAAACUUAGAUGACUAAAUUAAUAAUUUUGUUAGACUUAUUAUUUCAAUUUUAUUCUAAAUUUUGAAAUGACAAAUAAGUGAACAAAAUUAUUUUUCAAAUGUUAAAAUAAGUUCAAAAAGUCUACAACUUCUAAUAAUGAAAAGGAACGUAAUUGCAAAGGUAAAGUCAUUAUAAUCAGUUAACAGGAUGUCAUUCCAUUAGCUCACGGAGGAAAUGUUAUUUUCGCUCAAUCGAGGAAAAGUUCAAUUUUUUUCCUGAAUUAUUUCUGACUUCUUUUUCUUUCUUCUUCCUUUUUCUUUCUUCUUCUCUUACCUUUCUUUAAGUCAACGUUUGCCAGAAAAGAUGGGUGCAAGGAGGACGAUGAGAAAAAAAAAAAUAAAAGGUAACAUCUUGAGUGAUUAUAUCUUAACCAAGUUAGAAGGUAAUUUGAGUAGGUUAAAUAAAAGAUAGAGUGGUUGUAUGUGAUCCAUAAAAGGUAUUGCAUUAUAAGAUUAUGUUUGUACUAAAUUUCAUUUCAAUAGUGGAUUUUAAAAUUCGUUAGUGAAUCAAAAGGAAAGGACAAAGGUAGUAAUUUUAUUUUAUAGAAUUAUUUUAAUCUAAUUUGUUCUUAAAUGUUGCUAGGUUCUUAAUUUUUAAUUAAAAUUUAGUUAUUUUUAAUUGUUUUUACAAUUAGUUUAUUUUUAUUAAGUUAUUUUAAUUUUAUGUUUAUUUACUUUAAUUCGACUUUUAUUUAUUAGUUUUUAUGCAUUUGUAGGAUUUAAGGAAAUAAGGCUUAAUUUUGGAAAAUAAGGUGUUUGAAAGACCAAAAUUUUGUUUGCAUAUGCUUCAAUAUUUUGCCCAUAACUUUUACUACAAAAUUCCAAAUGAUACGGAUUCUUGAGCCAUUGGAAAGCUAAGAAAUAGAGCUACAACUUUCAUAUAUCACUUUGCCCAGUUCUACUUCGAAGACAGAGAAAAUUGCAUCGGAAGGUGACUGGACAUAAUGCUGCAGGAAUGGUAAUUUUGAAAAAUGAUAUUUGAUAUUUGAGCCUCACCCAAUUAAAAUCAGUAGGUUAACUUAGGAGAUUUUAAGAGAAGAAAACUCCAGAGUUAUACGCUGGCAUUGAUAUUUGAAGAUGCCAUUAGACCCAACACAGAGCUAGUUACCAACUACAAUGCUGAUUUGCUUGGAAGAUAAUAGCUUACCAAGUAAGGGUCAUGGAAUCCUUUCGACUUCUGCUGCUUUCCUAUAUCUUCACAUUUUGUGCCAUUAUUUUUAUAAUUAUAAGAUUAGAUGGGGUAGAAUAUAUUGGGGUAUGUACGAUGCAUGCAUGAAUUCCUUUAGAUAUCUGGGUAUGGGGCCGAGAUACUGUUACUGAGGGGAAGCAAUGGUCAAUUUUCUUAGAACUCUCGCCUCGCCAUUUUCAGACUUGAGAUUUGCAUUUUGCUCCCCUUGAGUCUGCUUAUAUAUCUACACUUGAUAAUUUUGGAUGAAACACAAUAACAUGAUACGAAAAGAUACAGAAUUAAAUAGAUUUGAGUUUAAUUUUAUCGUGUUUUAUGUCUUAACCGUGUCAAACAAAAUUAAUAUAUUUAAACACACUUAAUUAAUCAUAUGAAUCGUAUUUAAAAGUGUAUAAGUAACACGUUUAAUUUUAAUGAUAGAUUUUAUUAAUAUGAUGAUGAAUUUUAUGUAUGUUAUUUAUAUUAAAUUUUAUUAUAUUUAAUGUUAUUAUUAUUUUGUUAUAAUUAUUUUAAUAAUAUUGAAUUUAAAUUUGAAUAAUAAAAUUAUAUUUAAUAGUAAAUAUAUUAAGUUAAUCCCGUUAAAUGUGUUGGAAAAAAAUUAUGUUAAUCGUUUAAUCGUAUUUAUUAGUCGUAUUGUGUUGUAUAAAAAAUCUUAAUAUGUUUAAUAAAUAUGUUGAUCGUGUCAUGUCUUGUUACACGAUUAGUAAAUAUAUUUGUAUACGUGUUUUAGAUGCUAAUAUAAAUAAUUAUUCGGAUCAUGUUCAUAUUUAAUCUUACCAUAUUUCAUGUUGACGCAAUUAAGAUAUAAAAAUACGAAUUAAUGCCAAGUCUAUAAUAUAUAUAUAUAUAUGUUUUCAAAACGUUUAAUUCUACUAAUCCAUCUUUUGGCUGAGUGAACUGGACUUUCACAAACAAGUAUGUCUAUAAAAUUAGGGUUGACUGUUUCUACAAAUUAAUAUUCUAAUUCUGGUAUUAAAGUCUUGCCUACCAUGUUAGUUAUUGUGCAAUAUAAUAAUGUCUCAUAUAUUUACUAUGCAAUCUUAGCUUCACCUUUUCUAAGCACUUGAUGCAAUUCUUCCUCUUUUAGGCUUGUAUGAAGAUUCUAAAGGCGGGCAAAAUUUAGAUGCAAUAUCUUGUAUGUGAAGUUUAUCAUAAUCUCGAUCGAAAAUAAAACUAAAACCCGAAAAAUAUUUGCAAUUUUAAUAGAUUUAUUUCUUGUACGCAUCAUGAGCUAGAAAUAGUACGCAUAUAUAAUUUAUUGUAUUGUAUUUAUUAUAAAUCCCAUUCGAGUAAUGUUAAGACAUACAAAUGGAUCUAUUCUUUGUGGGUUGACCAGUUCAUUCUAUUGCUCUGUUUUUCAUUGAAUGAGAAGACACUUGCAGGGAGAGGAAAAUUCAUAGUAGUUCCUUUAUAACAUCUUAAACUUCUCUGUCAAAAAUCCAACUGAAUGGAAUCCUUGGUGCGUGCUUGGCCCUUCCUUGAGCUCUCUCCUCCAGCCUUCUAAUUCCUGGAGGAAGUCCACACACAUAGUCUUGAGCUUGACGCCCAUCCGCUGAAAGUCCAGUUAGUUCCUUCACCUUCCAACUCUCCACCAGGAACUCCAGAAUAUCAGCAUAGUCCUUGGCAGUGUAAACCCCAAUUCUUUGCGCAACAGCAGAGAAGUGGUCGAAAAGGUUGUCAUCUCGGCCAUCAUACAUCAAGUGGCCUGGCAUGGAGAUUUUCUUCCUCAUCAUGUCAGCGAAGGCCAGCAAAGUACCGUCAGGAUCAAUCUCAAAGAGCUUUUCGACAACUUUAGUAUAGGCUGUCCCGUGGCGCUUUUCAUCUGAGGCAAUGCUACCACAUAUUUGAGCCAAGUUAAUGUCCCCGUGUUUCUUAGCAAGCCUGGCUGAAUUCCCAUGGGAAAUAAAAGUUGCCCUUUCUUGGAAUGAUAUGUAGAUGAGUCCCAGAUAUGGGUUUUUCU
rnacentral:lncRNA from 1 species